AGAGUUUGAUCCUGGCUCAGGAUGAACGCUGACAGAAUGCUUAACACAUGCAAGUCGAUUCGAAAUUUCCUUCGGGGAAUGGAGGAUGGCGGACGGGUGAGUAACGCGUAAGAAACUUGCCUUUUGGACUGGGACAACUGUUGGAAACGACAGCUAAUACCGGAUAUUAUGAAAUUUCCGCAUGGAGAAUUUAUGAAAGCUAUAUGCGCCAAAAGAGAGUCUUGCGUUCCAUUAGCUAGUUGGUGGGGUAAUGGCCCACCAAGGCGACGAUGGAUAGCCGGCCUGAGAGGGUGAACGGCCACAAGGGGACUGAGACACGGCCCUUACUCCUACGGGAGGCAGCAGUGGGGAAUAUUGGACAAUGGGCCACAAGCCUGAUCCAGCAAUUCUGUGUGCACGAUGACGGUCUUAGGAUUGUAAAGUGCUUUCAGUUGGGAAGAAGAAAGUGACGGUACCAACAGAAGAAGCGACGGCUAAAUACGUG
rnacentral:rRNA from 1 species